rnacentral:rRNA from 1 species
GAUGAACGCUGGCGGCGUGCCUAAUACAUGCAAGUUGAGCAAAUGGAUUAAGAGCUUGCUCUUAUGAAGUUAGCGGCGGACGGGUGAGUAACACGUGGGUAACCUGCCCAUAAGACUGGGAUAACUCCGGGAAACCGGGGCUAAUACCGGAUAACAUUUUGAACCGCAUGGUUCGAAAUUGAAAGGCGGCUUCGGCUGUCACUUAUGGAUGGACCCGCGUCGCAUUAGCUAGUUGGUGAGGUAACGGCUCACCAAGGCAAAGAUGCGUAGCCGACCUGAGAGGGUGAUCGGCCACACUGGGACUGAGACACGGCCCAGACUCCUACGGGAGGCAGCAGUAGGGAAUCUUCCGCAAUGGACGAAAGUCUGACGGAGCAACGCCGCGUGAGUGAUGAAGGCUCUCGGGUCGUAAAACUCUGUUGUUAGGGAAGAACAAGUGCUAGUUGAAUAAGCUGGCACCUUGACGGUACCUAACCAGAAAGCCACGGCUAACUACGUGCCAGCAGCCGCGGUAA